CCUACGGGUGGCAGCAGUGAGGAAUAUUGGUCAAUGGACGAGAGUCUGAACCAGCCAAGUAGCGUGAAGGAUGACUGCCCUAUGGGUUGUAAACUUCUUUUAUAAAGGAAUAAAACGAGGCACGUGUGCCUUUUUGCAUGUACUUUAUGAAUACGGAUCGGCUAACUCCGUGCCAGCAGCCGCGGUAAUACGGAGGAUCCGAGCGUUAUCCGGAUUUAUUGGGUUUAAAGGGAGCGUAGAUGGGUUGUUAAGUCAGUUGUGAAAGUUUGCGGCUCAACCGUAAAAUUGCAAUUGAUACUGGCAGUCGUGAGUACAGUUGAGGUAGGCGGAAUUCGUGGUGUAGCGGUGAAAUGCUUAGAUAUCACGAAGAACCCCGAUUGCGAAGGCAGCUUACUAAACUGUGACUGACAUUGAUGCUCGAAAGUGUGGGUAUCAAACAGGAUUAGAUACCCCAGUAGUC
rnacentral:rRNA from 1 species